UUUGAAUUAAGAGUUGUCCUUAAAGAAAUUAAUUUGAAGAAGCAAACAGGAAAUUCUACGCAAAAUUUAGGAAUAAUAACAAACGAAAAAAUUGCGGCGCGAUUAAUGCAUUUUGGUAUAGUUCCACUGCUGGGAUAUUACGAUGACCAUAGCAAUGAAACAUACUACUUUAUAUCACCAUAUUUUGAAAACGGGGACUUAUAUCAAGCCAUACACAAAGACAAAGAAAAUUUAGAAGACACUGAGAAAAUCAUUCUGAGCUCGGACAUCAGAUUAAAAAUUAUGUACCAAGUCUCUAGUGCAAUAGAUUUCAUGCAUACUGGCAACAUAUUCAGGGGAACAAUAUUGCAUAUGGACAUUAAAUCCGAAAAUAUUGUUUUGGAUGCAAAUUUCAAUGCGCGGUUGAUCGAUUUCGGCUUAGCUAGAGAACUGAGUGAAGGCGAAGAAUGUCUAAAGACUGAUGUGGCUGUUGGAACACCCGGAUAUUUUCCUGGGGAACAGAAAACGCUUACGAAACAACACGAUUAUCAGAACUUCGG